rnacentral:rRNA from 1 species
AGAGUUUGAUCCUGGCUCAGAACAAACGCUGGCGGCGUGUCUUAAGCAUGCAAGUUGAGCGGCAAGGAGGAGAGAUCCUCCCUAGAGCGGCGGACUGGUGAGUAACGCGUGGGUAAUCUAUCGUAGGCAUGGGGAUAGUCACUAGAAAUAGUGGGUAAUACCGAAUACGUUCCAUGAGGGGAGUAUUCAUGGAAGAAAGGGUGCUACGGCACUGGCCUUAGGUGAGCUCGCGUCCCAUUAGCUAGUUGGUGAGGUAAAGGCCCACCAAGGCGAUGAUGGGUAGCCGGCCUGAGAGGGUGUACGGCCACACUGGGACUGAGAUACGGCCCAGACUCCUACGGGAGGCAGCAGCUAAGAAUAUUCCGCAAUGGACGAAAGUCUGACGGAGCGACGCCGCGUGGAUGAAGAAGGCCGAAAGGUUGUAAAGUUCUUUUGCUAGGGGAGAAUAAGUGAGGGAGGGAAUGCCCUCAUGAUGACAAGGACUAGCGAAUAAGCCCCGGCCAACUACGUGCCAGCAGCCGCGGUAACACGUAGGGGGCGAGCGUUGUUCGGAAUUACUGGGCGUAAAGGGCAUGUAGGCGGCUUGGUAAGCCUGGCGUGAAAGACUGCAGCUUAACUGUAGGGAUGCGUUGGGAACUGCUUAGCUUGAGUUACGGAGAGGGAGCUGGAAUUCCUGGUGUAGGGGUGAAAUCUGUAGAUAUCAGGAAGAACACCGAUGGCGAAGGCAAGCUUCUGGUCGAUAACUGACGCUGAGGUGCGAAAGUGUGGGGAUCAAACAGGAUUAGAUACCCUGGUAGUCCACACUGUAAACGAUGUGCACGAGGUGCUGGGGCGGUAGUUUCAGUGCCGGAGCGAACGCGGUAAGUGCACCGCCUGGGGAGUAUGCUCGCAAGGGUGAAACUCAAAGGAAUUGACGGGGGCCCGCACAAGCGGUGGAGCAUG